GUACUGAGACGCCUGGGAUCUCAAAAUGGCGGCCCCGUGCGGAAACAGCGUCUGGGAGCAGUCAUGUUGCCUCCUGAACAAAGCCGCUGAAGAUGAAGAAUGGGCAAAAUCGCCCCAUACGGAACAGCGCAGCCUCGGGAGCCCGUUACCUGGCUCGCGAACACGAAGCGGGAGAGUUCGCCAAUAUGGAUGUGACAGCGGUUCCCAUUAAGCGGUGAUAGGAUUUUUGGGACCUGAUAAUCAAGCUAGGGGUCACAGACUACUCUCAAGUUGAAAACCUUCAGAAGUUUUCUCAAACCACUUGUCCCCUCCAUAACUCGUGCCUUCACAGAAGAAAACAUCCUUCAAAUAAAUAUCAAAACAAA
ensembl:lncRNA ZNF300P1 zinc finger protein 300 pseudogene 1